AGUGAUGUCAAGUCAGCAUGGCCUUUAUAUCCUGGGCUACACACACGCUACAAUGGCCAACACAAUAGGUUGCUAAGCCGCGAGGUGGCGCCAAUCCAUAAAGUUGGUCUCAGUUCAGAUUGUAGGCUGCAACCCGCCUGCAUGAAGAUGGAGUUGCUAGUAACCGCAGGUCAGCUAUACUGCGGUGAAUACGUUCCCGGGCUU
rnacentral:rRNA from 1 species